rnacentral:rRNA from 1 species
AAUGAACGCUGGCGGCAGGCCUAAAACAUGCAAGUCGAACGAUGUAGCAAUACAGAGUGGCGCACGGGUGAGUAACAUGUGGGAAUAUGCCUUUUGGUACGGAACAACGUUUGGAAACGAACGCUAAUACCGUAUGGUCCCUUCGGGGUAAAGAUUUAUCGCCAAAAGAUUAGCCCGCACUAGAUUAGCUAGUUGGUGAGGUAAUGGCUCACCAAGGCGACGAUCUAUAGCUGGUCUGAGAGGACGAUCAGCCACACUGGGACUGAGACACGGCCCAGACUCCUACGGGAGGCAGCAGUUAGGAAUAUUGGACAAUGGGCGCAAGCCUGAUCCAGCCAUGCCGCGUGAACGAUGAAGGCCUUCGGGUUGUAAAGUUCUUUAGCCGAUGAUUAUAAUGACUGUAGUCGGAAAAUAAGCCCCGGCUAACUUCGUGCCAGCCGCCGCAGUAAGAC